UGUUCAUAUGAAGAUAGAUUUAUAAGAAUUAGGGUGCAGUGUUUCACUGCAUGUGUGUGUGUGGACAAUAGCAGACACACUGAGAAAUUAAGACAGAGCUAGAGGGGGAGAGAGAGAGAGGGAAGCUCAUUAUAAUCAGGCAAUUAUGCUGGCAGAAUUAGAGGCGUCCUUAUUUUCUCUUGUGGCAGCCAGAGUGUGGGUACAGCUUUUUAACUCACUGUAGACUAAUCCACGGAUAUGACUGACUAUUUCAUGUUAAUAUGAGGAAUCUGUAUGUAACAGCAAGAUUUGGAAGGGAGCUGAGAGAAGAGGGCAGUUGAUCAAGCCCACAACUCAGGACCAUCAGGGUCUUCAGAACUGUGGUAUAUAAUUAUAUUGCAUGUUUUUUAGUUUUUUUUUUGGGUUGUUUCACUAAGUUUUUCUAAUUUUGUUGUUAAUCCUAUUGAUAUUGUUGUUUAUGUCUAUCAGGCAUAGAGUGUAUUAUACAUCAUGUGUGUAACUCAUUUGUAGUAUCCUUAAAGGUGUAAUGAUUUUUUUUUAGGUUUUAUCAGAUAUAAAAUCAUACUCAGAAAUUGAAAUGUGCAAAAAUUAAAAUGUAUAUUAUUGUCUAGAUAAAAUUACAAUAAAAGAAUAAGAUUAUACAUUUUUUUCUGACUAUUCUUCAGAAAUUGAAUGCACCAGGUUCACAUUUAAGAUCAAUGUAAUUGUCCACUAGUGGCAAGCUCUCACUAAAUACUUUGACCCUAGGUCAAGGCUGUUUGACCAGAAUUUAACUCUUGACCUCUAAUACAUGUCUUAUCAACUCCCCGCCUAAUUUGUAUUGAUUAUCACUCCCAUGAGAAUUAGGGGUUAAAACACUUCUUUCUUAAUGAAAUAUUACUUGAUAUAUUUUCCUGACAAAAAAAAAAUGUAAUUUCAAAGUAAAUAAUAUACUUAAUUUCAUGAUUUGCAAAGUAUGUUUUCUUUAUAUUUUUACACAUAGUGACUACACAAAAGAGAUAGAUGAAUUUAGGACAAAGAGACUCAUUGCUGCACAUCUGCCACCCUCUCUCCAAUUACGGAAAUAUGAAGUUGUGCCUGUGUGUGCGUGUGUUUACGUGUGUGUCAGGGUGGAGUGGGUGGAUGGCUUUAGAUGAACAGUGGAGCUACGACUUCUCUCAAGUUCUCAGGCAAGUGCUUGUGUCUGGCGAUGGAGGAGGCAGCUGAUUUGGGAUACGGCGUUAACAUAACAAAGGGCCCGAGCCUGUGAACUUGGGGCUCCUUUCGACCCCGGCGCUGUGGGGAUGAAUAGUCUUCGAGCCUCCCCAUGGAGCACCCCCCACAGCUUGCCCGAUCGUGGUAAAAUUGUUAAUCAGGGUAAUUUAAUAUAGUUUUCAAUAUGCCUCAUCUCUCAUUGAGAAAGCAUUCUUGCCUUAAUUCUCGCCUUCCCUACUAAAAAAAGCGGGACCCCCACCCUUUCUCUGUCCCGAGCAGACGAGACAGGCAGCUGCAGGUCUCAGAGCAUUCUCAAUUGAAAUGUUCAAACAUCAACAUGAAGGCCUCCAUAGACACAGUUUGUAUGUAUAUGCUGGCCGAGUUCAUUGUAGAGGACUAUUUGUUCAUGUGUGUAUCUGGACACAUUGAGUCAGUGGAUAAGCAUCUAUGUGUGUGGGUAGAGGGGAAGACAAAAAGCUUUAAUCUGCAAAUGUGGCUUUGUGUUCAUACAGCGCAAUGCCACAUGCUUACUUUGUCUUGCGCUGAGGAAAUGAGCAAAUCAAACGGAGGGUCUUGACGGAUAGUGUCAAGCACUUCACCUUUCUAACCCGAUCUGGAAUGAGGUCACUGCAAACGGUUCCUCUGUCUAAGGUCAGGCUGACGUCACUACACCCGGUGUGUAGUGUCCACUGGCCGAGGUGAGUCAUCAAACAACUGGUCCUUGUUUUAGGCAGUGUGAAGACACCUAUCCACCCACGCACACCCACACACUCACACACACCAACAUGUACACGCAGGGCCCAGGUCCUGACUCUACUCCCUAUAAAUACAUACUGUAAUCCAGGAUGACUCAGACACUUCGUGGGGUGGCAGAAAAUGGAGAGAGGUGGACGAGGAGUCUGCAGGAACACUUGGAGGAAGGAAGAAAAAUCUUACAUUGGUUUCUUAGUGUUGUCAUUUUGGAUCAAACUGGUAGAGAGACAAAAAAAAUGUUGAUAAAGAACAAAAGCAUGUAUGAAGGGGUGAGUGACUGAGUGUAUAGCCCUUUGGAGUCCUCAGAUUAGAUAAAGUGCUAUGCAAAUACAGGCAAUUUACUAUCAGCGCACUCUUCCUUUUUCAUAGAUGAAGAAAGCGGAUGUGCUUUUGCAGCAACAAGCUACCUGACAAUAUUAGCUGCAAUUAAAGAAACUAUAUCUAUAACUAUAUUUUUAUGGAUUUGUCUGGUUUCUCAAUAGCCUGGCAGAUAUAUACAUAAGCAAAUAUGUCUGGAAUUUCUCAAAAUAUAAUUUCAAGGUUGCAUGAAAAUUGAAAGAAAUUAUUUAUCUGAUUUAUGUUGAUUAAUUUCAGAUUUAUUUCUUUAUUUUUGCCGCCACCCUUACCCUUAGCUCCCUACAGAUUCUCUAUGAGACUCAAGUCGGGAUUCUGGCCUGGUCAUUCUAAAACUAAUUUUGCAUGUGUCAGAACAAACCUGUUCGUAAAAUUAAAAGAUUACUUUAAAUCUUAAUAUGCCAAGGUUAUGAAUAAUUCAACUCUUGUUCAUGCUAAAAUGAACAAGAGGCUUUUUACAUCUUAAAAAGCCUCCUCUAAUAAUGCUGUGUCCUAUAUAGUAAAAAUACAUACAUAUUUCUUUUUUCUAGCAAAAAUCAAUUGCAAUAUAAUUUUAUUUUUUUAAAAGAAAAAGAAUUAAAACAUCAUGGUUUUUUCUUUUGACAAAAAUGACUUUAGCUGAAUAAUGCCAUAAACCAAAUGGCUUUUGUUUGUGAAUAUUUUAUGUUGAUAAUAAUUUUAAAAAAAUGUUUGGCAUUAUAAUUAAAAAUUUGCAUUGUAACUUUAUGCUGUGUACAUACCUGUAGCAAAAGUUUAGUAUAUCAAGUUUUUAUAUCAUGGCAUUUGCAACUGCUUUAGUGUGAUGGGAAAUUGAAUUAAUCAAACAUGGAAACAAAGGUGUUAUGGGUCCCCAUGGGGGACGGGGUCUAACUGGGGUCAGGAUUGUGGGGCCUUGUCUAGACUGCUUGUUUUUGUGGUUGCAAGGUUUCAACCUCUCUGUCAUCCUUUUGAAAGAAGAACUUGACCCAUGUCUGGUUGCCGUGGACUCUUAGGAAGGGAGACAGGGAAACAUGGAACUGGUUUGUAGCUGGGAUUGCUAUGGAAGUUUUUACACAUAUCUACUCGUUGAAGGCUCAUCUUCUAAAAAAUCUGUAGUACUCUCAAAACCUUGAAUAAGUACGUAUGCUCGUAAUUCCAUUUUGCUAUGCUGCAUUGCUUGUAUUGCAAAGAAAAUGUGUUAACGUUUGAACUGUCAAGUUUCAAGUUAUUCUUUUUUUUUCCACAGACUUGAAUCUGUCGCUUCAGGUUUCCCUUGGAGACAUAACCUCUACAUUUUCCCCACUUCCUCUGUAUUAGUGCACUUCUCCAAACAAUAUUUAUUGCAGAAUAUCUCUAGUUAUAGGGAGUUAAAAUCAGCCAGUCACAGUACAAACACAUGCACACAAAAAAACACCACAGGAACACCAAAACACCCAUUAGACACCAAAUUCAAAUCAAUUCCUCCCACUCGCUUAGCUCCUGUCUUGGUGUGCGUGGAGGGUGCAGGAUGCUGCUACAGGGCAUGGUAUAAUUGAAAGGCUGAAGAAGAAUACUGCUUCUUUAAAAACCAACCAGCAGGCAACGGGGGCAUGAUGGGAAAACAAAGCUGGGGCCCCAGGAGUGGGUAACAUGACAUCACUAAUGGAGGAGCAGAAAGGAUCACUGGCACGGUUUGUUACUGGCUGUCUUCGUAACAACCACCAGGUCUUGAAGAUGCAACAAGAUUAAAUCCACAAUAUCCAAAUCUGAUGUUUAUAUGACCAACAUGAAUGAUAUCAAGAGGUCAGAAUUUGUAGAAACUUUGCUGAAACAUACUGUUUGCUCAAAAUUAAUUUAGAACUUUCUUCUUUGAUGUUGUGUUUAGGUUAAACAAAUGCAUGAUUCAUCACUAAAGGCAUAUGAUUUUAGAAUAAUCCUUCCUUAAUUCUUGAAGGAAGAAUUAAAAUGUUAACUCUUUCUUCAAGAAUGAACAUGUGAUGUGUGUGAUAAGUACAUGUAUAUUGGUAGAAUAUCCAGAACAUACAUAAACCUAUAUUUAUGUCUAAAAGUUUCACACCUUCUCUGUUUUUCUUUUCUUCCUGUGAAUGCAAGUUUGACAGGGGGCUGCAUCUCUGCGGCAUUAGCUCGAGCAGCUGUGAAUUCAAAGAAAAUCAGCAAGCAUGUCUGUCUCUUUUUGACCCACAUAUGGGAUCUCCCACCCUGCACUUCCAAGAUGGCAGCUCAUUUUAUCCAGCCAUAAAUAUCGGUAUUACCUAUCAAUAAAGCCAUCAGAGCAGGGUAAAAAUAGCAGGGAGAGGAAAAAAAGUGGACAAGGAAUGGGGUUGUGAGAUGUGCUGAAAUAAAGGGCAGAUGUAGGAGAGAGAAAAAGAAAGUGAUGACUGCUUCUCUGUUUCGGGCCCAUGGUCUCAUACCUCCUGGGAUAGCUGAACACUGUCAACAUUCUGCACUUCAAAAUCAAUCACUCUAGACUGGACAAAAAGAGAAGGACACACACUGCUACCGCACAUGCUACAGACAAUGCUGAGAUGCUGUAUGACAGCAGCCUGUCACAGUGUCAUGUUGUCAUUAUUGAGGAAUGGGACAUAAUGUCAGCAAUGUUUCUGUUUUUCUGUAUAUUUUGGAUGUACAUUUAACCAACAAAAACAAAAAACAACUGAAUGUGCCAAUGUAAUUUUCUCUAGUGAUCUGCAGUCUGGAAAAAAAAUGCUUUCCAACUGGAAACAUUUGAUCUUUUGUGCCAUUUGUGAGAAACAUUAUGCCCAGAUAACCUGGUGGUGUUUGUAUCCAGAGCUGGUUUAAGGUAUCCUGUUGAUUCACUAUAAAACACUUUUGGUUGCAGUGCAGGGCA